GCGGGUGUAGCACAACGGCCAGUGCGCUUGCCUUCCAAGCAAGAUAUGAGGGUUCAACUCCCUUCACCCGCU
rnacentral:tRNA from 5 species